rnacentral:rRNA from 1 species
GACGGAGGGUGCAAGCGUUGUUCGGAAUUACUGGGCGUAAAGGGUGCGUAGGUGGUGAGGUAAGUCGGAUGUGAAAUCUCCAGGCUCAACCUGGAAACUGCAUUGGAAACUACCUUGCUGGAGGAUUUGAGGGGGGAUUGGAAUACUUGGUGUAGCAGUGAAAUGCGUAGAUAUCAAGUGGAACACCAGUGGCGAAGGCGAAUCCCUGGAAAAUACCUGACACUGAGGCACGAAAGCUAGGGGAGCAAACAGG